rnacentral:rRNA from 1 species
AUUGAACGCUGGCGGCAGGCCUAACACAUGCAAGUCGAGCGGUAGCACAAGAGAGCUUGCUCUCUGGGUGACGAGCGGCGGACGGGUGAGUAAUGUCUGGGAAACUGCCUGAUGGAGGGGGAUAACUACUGGAAACGGUAGCUAAUACCGCAUAACGUCUUCGGACCAAAGUGGGGGACCUUCGGGCCUCACGCCAUCAGAUGUGCCCAGAUGGGAUAGCUAGUAGGUGGGGUAAUGGCUCACCUAGGCGACGAUCCCUAGCUGGUCUGAGAGGAUGACCAGCCAC